rnacentral:lncRNA from 1 species
AUAUCUAUAUUAUUAAUAUAUACAAUCAUAAGAUUCGAUUUCAGCAAUAAAGUUGCUGGUAAAUAAUUUUUCCUUGUAUUUUGCUAACUAGCCCAGAGUAUAAGCUUCAGUAGCACUGAUUAUAGCAAAAAACAUACCAAUGUUUUAGAACAGUUUUAAUAUUAUGGUUCCGACACCUUGAAGGGCAUUAUGGAUUAUGAGAAAGAAGAAGAAUAUUAUGGUACACAUAAAAUUACUUACUUUAUACCAAUUAAAUACGAAUUCAUCGAUUUCUUUUUCGGGUAAAGGUAGUCUAUACGGAUCAAAUAAGUUAUCUUCUUCGUCAGCCUUAGCCACAACAGCGGUCAGUACGCAAACUGCAAACACAAGAAGAAAGUAUUUAUACAUCGUUUUCAAUUUAGUUUAAA